rnacentral:miRNA from 1 species
UCUGCAGAAGCUGUCAGUGCCU